rnacentral:rRNA from 1 species
GACGAACGCUGGCGGCGUGCCUAAUACAUGCAAGUCGAACGCAGUGGGGACGGGUGAGUAACCCGUGGGUAACCUCCCACAAGAGGGGAAAACACUUGGAAACAGGUGCUAAACCGAUACUGUCGUUGGGACCCGCGUUGCAUUAGCUAGUUGGUGAGGUAACGGCUCACCAAGGCCACGAUGCAUAGACACCGUGAGAGGGUGUUCGGCCAAACUGGGACUGAGACACGGCCCAGACUCCUACGGGAGGCAGCAGAAGGAAAUCUUCGUCAAUGGACGAAAGUCUGACCGAGCAACGCCGCGUGAGUGAAGAAGGUUGUCGGAUCGUAAAACACUGUUGUUAGAGAAGCGGUAUCUAACCAGAAAGCCACGGCUAACUACGUGCCAGCAGCCGCGGUAAUAC